GGUUGCGGCCAAGAUGGCGGCUUUUUUUUUUACCGAGCUCCAUACCAAACUUCAGAAAGAUUGUGGAAAAAAAACAAGUUUACAGUCAUUUGUAUUUUUAUUUGUUCAAGACAUAAGACUUUUCCUGUUACUAAAAUAAUAAUUGGAUCAUUUAUUUCGGCAUGUCCAGGCAAAGUCGUGACAAAAAAAAGAAAGGAAGAAGUUAGCUGUUCUAUUGCUAAUCAACGAGAGAAACCUGCUUAUAGACAGACAACUGCCAUAACUACGCGUGCCCUACGGAUAAUAUCAUGCUUUCGAAUGCUGAAGAUUACGAAUUCCCCUCUUUACCGGUUACUCCGUGCAAACCUCCACCCUCCAAAAAACCCAACAUGAACUCUGACAUCGUGGCUACCCUCUCAAGACCAAGGGGUAUCAUCAUCCUCUCCACUGCCAGAUUCUACGGGGAUGCUGUCUGGAAAGCUGCUAGGAAGAACGCCUUCCUCCAGAGCCGUGGUGUGCGUUUCACCGAGCAUCUCAGCCCGGAGGACAUAGAAAGAAGGAACAAGUUGUGGCCAACGAUCAAGAAAGAACGAAAUGAGGGAAAGGCUGUUUACUUCGUAGGAGGACGAGGCUUCAUCAACGGUUCAGAAAUCCAUAUUUCUCCCUAAAAUCUCACCAGAAGGGACAGGUUGACGGUUUCAGCCAUGGACCUGAGCCCUAGGACCAUGCCUCAGGACUACCUGACAUGAUGACUCCUUGCUGUCCCCAGCCCACCUGGUCGUGCUGCUGCUCCAGUUUCAACUGUUCUGCCUGUGAUUAUUACUAUUUGACCAUGCUGGUCAUUUAUGAACAUUUGAACAUCUUGGCCAUGUUCUGUUAUAAUCUCCACCCGGCACAGCCAGAAGAGGACUGGUCACCCCUCAUAGCCUGGUUCCUUUCUAGGUUUCUUCCUAGGUUUUGGCCUUUCUAGGGAGUUUUUCCUAGCCACCGUGCUUCUACACCUGCAUUGCUUUGCUGUUUGGGGUUUUAGGCUGGGUUUCUGUACAGCACUUUGAGAUAUCAGCUCAGGGCUAUAUAAAUAAAUUUGAUUUGAUUUGAUGGAAUUACAUCAGAAUUUUACAAAUUAUUUUCUGAACAAGUAGCUCCCUUCCUAUUUGAAGUCUUUUUAGAGAGUAUUAAAAACAAUGUUCUCCCUCCUACAAUGAGUCAGGGGUUAAUAACACUGAUACCUGUAAGCCUAAAAAAGAAGUGCUGCUCAUCGAUAACUGGCGUCCAGUUUGUCUUCUUAAUAAUGACUAUAAGAUAUUAGCCUCACUACUUGCAAAAAUAAUUAAAGAAGUUCUGGAUGCAAUCAUUGAUGAAACACAGUCUGGCUUCAUGAGGAACAGACAUAUUUCUAACAAUGUCAGACUAGUAUUAGACGUACUUGACUACUCAGACCUAAUAACUGAGGAUAGCUUCAUAUUAUUUUUUAGAUUUUAAUAAAGCAUUUGACACAGUA